rnacentral:rRNA from 1 species
AUUGAACGCUGGCGGCAUGCCUUACACAUGCAAGUCGAACGGCAGCACGGGUGCUUGCACCUGGUGGCGAGUGGCGAACGGGUGAGUAAUACAUCGGAACGUACCUUAUCGUGGGGGAUAACGCAGCGAAAGCUGUGCUAAUACCGCAUACGCCCUGAGGGGGAAAGCGGGGGAUCGCAAGACCUCGCGCGAUUAGAGCGGCCGAUGCCUGAUUAGCUAGUUGGUGGGGUAAAAGCCCACCAAGGCGACGAUCAGUAGCUGGUCUGAGAGGACGAUCAGCCACACUGGGACUGAGACACGGCCCAGACUCCUACGGGAGGCAGCAGUGGGGAAUUUUGGACAAUGGGGGCAACCCUGAUCCAGCAAUGCCGCGUGAGUGAAGAAGGCCUUCGGGUUGUAAAGCUCUUUUGUCAGGGAAGAAACACCGGCUCUAACACAGUCCGGGAAUGACGGUACCUGAAGAAUAAGCACCGGUUAACUACGUGCCAGCAGCCGCGGUAA